GUAGGGAAUAUUGGGCAAUGGAUGCAAGUCUGACCCAGCCAUGCCGCGUGGAGGAAGAAGGUCCUCUGGAUUGUAAACUCCUUUUUUGGGGGAAGAAUAGUUCUCUUGCGAGGGAAUGUGACGGUACCCUAAGAAUAAGCCACGGCUAACUACGUGCCAGCAGCCGCGGUAAUACGUAGGUGGCAAGCGUUGUCCGGAUUUAUUGGGUUUAAAGGGUGCGUAGGUGGUUUGAUAAGUCAGUGGUGAAAGCUGGUUGCUCAACAAUCAAGUUGCCAUUGAUACUGUCGGACUUGAGAGAAGGGUAGGUUCAGGGAAUGGAUGGUGUAGCGGUGAAAUGCAUAGAUAUCAUCCAGAACGUCGAUUGCGAAGGCAGUGGGCUGUACUUUAUCUGACACUGAGGCACGAAAGUGUGGGGAUCAAACAGGAUUAGAAACCCGGGUAGUCC
rnacentral:rRNA from 1 species